rnacentral:rRNA from 1 species
UACGUAGGGUACGAGCGUAGUCCGGAAUUAUUGGGCGUAAAGAGCUCGUAGGUGGUUGGUCACGUCUGCUGUGUAAACGCAACGCUUAACGUUGCGCGGGCAGUGGGUACGGGCUGACUAGAGUGUGGUAGGGGAGACUGGAAUUCCUGGUGUAGCGGUGAAAUGCGUAGAUAUUGGGAGGAACACCAGUGGCGAAGGCGGCUCUCUGGGCCUUACCUGACGCUGAGGAGCGAAAGCAUGGGUAGCGAACAGGAUUGGAUACCCUGGUAGU